AGAGUUUGAUCCUGGCUCAGAUUGAACGCUGGCGGCAUGCCUUACACAUGCAAGUCGAACGGCAGCACGGAGCUUGCUCUGGUGGCGAGUGGCGAACGGGUGAGUAAUAUAUCGGAACGUACCCUAGAGUGGGGGAUAACGUAGCGAAAGUUACGCUAAUACCGCAUACGAUCUAAGGAUGAAAGUGGGGGAUCGCAGGACCUCAUGCUCGUGGAGCGGCCGAUAUCUGAUUAGCUAGUUGGUAGGGUAAAAGCCUACCAAGGCAUCGAUCAGUAGCUGGUCUGAGAGGACGACCAGCCACACUGGAACUGAGACACGGUCCAGACUCCUACGGGAGGCAGCAGUGGGGAAUUUUGGACAAUGGGCGAAAGCCUGAUCCAGCAAUGCCGCGUGAGUGAAGAAGGCCUUCGGGUUGUAAAGCUCUUUUGUCAGGGAAGAAACGGUGAGAGCUAAUAUCUCUUGCUAAUGACGGUACCUGAAGAAUAAGCACCGGCUAACUACGUGCCAGCAGCCGCGGUAAUACGUAGGGUGCAAGCGUUAAUCGGAAUUACUGGGCGUAAAGCGUGCGCAGGCGGUUUUGUAAGUCUGAUGUGAAAUCCCCGGGCUCAACCUGGGAAUUGCAUUGGAGACUGCAAGGCUAGAAUCUGGCAG
rnacentral:rRNA from 1 species